AGGCUUGUGAUUUUUGAAGCCUCUGCCUUCUAAUUCUGUAAACCGUGAUGAUUAUCAGUAGCGAAGCUAUCAUAAACGUAAUGAUUGUGAUUAUGAGCUUUGAAGCAGUGAAGGAUACUGCGUGACCAUGACCUGAACCUCUAGUUUGGUUUGCCAAAGAUGGGCAAUUGACGUGACGAGGACAGAGAUUGAGGUUUCCAGUAAACGAGCUAUCAUUGAAGACUAAAAAUUGACCGCCAAUGGGAAUUCUGCCCACCAAACAGUUAUACGAAAGAUCAAGAGUUGUGAGGCUUAUCAUGUUACGGAUUUCAGCCGGAAUUUCACCAGUUAGCUGGUUCCUUG
rnacentral:lncRNA from 1 species